rnacentral:rRNA from 1 species
UACGUAGGGUGCGAGCGUUAAUCGGAAUUACUGGGCGUAAAGUGUGCGCAGGCGGCUUCGCAAGUCGAGUGUGAAAUCCCCGAGCUUAACUUGGGAAUUGCGCUCGAAACUACGGAGCUGGAGUGUGGCAGAGGAAGGUGGAAUUCCACGUGUAGCGGUGAAAUGACGUAGAGAUGUGGAGGAACACCGAUGGCGAAGGCAGCCUUCUGGGCCAACACUGACGCUCAUGCACGAAAGCGUGGGGAGCAAACAGG